rnacentral:hammerhead_ribozyme from 1 species
AUCCGGCUAACAAGUCCCAAAUAGGACAAAACACGCGUCCUGGAU